rnacentral:rRNA from 1 species
UACGUAGGGUGCGAGCGUUGUCCGGAAUUAUUGGGCGUAAAGGGCUCGUAGGCGGUUUGUCGCGUCGGGAGUGAAAACCUCGGGCUUAACUCGGGGCUUGCUUUCGAUACGGGCAGACUAGAGGUAUGCAGGGGAGAACGGAAUUCCUGGUGUAGCGGUGAAAUGCGCAGAUAUCAGGAGGAACACCGGUGGCGAAGGCGGCUCUCUGGGACGGUACUGACGCUGAGACGCGAAAGCGUGGGGAGCGAACAGG